GACGAACGCUGGCGGCGUGCUUAACACAUGCAAGUCGAACGGAAAGGCCCUGCUUUUGUUGGGUGCUCGAGUUGCGAACGGGUGAGUCACACGUGAGUAACCUGCCCUUUACUUUGGGAUAACUUCUGGAAACUUGGGCUAAUACCGGAUAUUAGCUCCUGCUGCAUGGUGUGGUUUGGAAAGUUUCGGCGGUUGGGGAUGGACUCGCGGCUUAUCAGCUUGUUGGUGGGGUAGUGGCUUACCAAGGCUUUGACGGGUAGCCGGCCUGAGAGGGUGACCGGCCACAUUGGGAAUGAGAGACGGCCCAGACUCCUACGGGAGGAAGCAGUGGGGAAUAGUGCACAAUGGGCGGAAGCCUGAUGCAGCAACGCCGCGUGCGGGAUGACGGACUUCGGGUUGUAAACAGCUUUCGACUGGGAUGAAGCGGGAGUGACGGUAAUGGGAAAAGAAGCACCGGCUAACUACGUG
rnacentral:rRNA from 1 species